ACAUGAAAAUGAAGAUGCUCAAAAUGAAAAUAAAGGCAUUGGAGGAAGAGAGGGACUUCCUCCGAACAACUAUUACCCAGCUGACUGGACAAAGAACUUCUUCAGGACCAAGUCCUAGCUCAUCUGUGGGUGACAACAUUGCCAAGCUUGAGGAUCAGUGGGAUGACAGCUCUGAUUCUUCGAGCUCUGAUAGCUCUUCAUCCACAGACAGCGAAAUAGA